AUUGAACGCUGGCGGCAUGCCUUACACAUGCAAGUCGAACGGUAACAGGUCUUCGGAUGCUGACGAGUGGCGAACGGGUGAGUAAUACAUCGGAACGUGCCUAGUAGUGGGGAUGACUACUCGAAAGAGUGGCUAAUACCGCAUGAGAUCUACGGAUGAAAGCAGGGGAUCGCAAGACCUUGUGCUACUAGAGCGGCCGAUGGCAGAUUAGGUAGUUGGGGGGAUAAAAGCUUACCAAGCCGACGAUCUGUAGCUGGUCUGAGAGGACGAUCAUCCACACUGGGACUGAGACACGGCCCAGACUCCUACGGGAGGCAGCAGUGGGGAAUUUUGGACAAUGGGCGCAAGCCUGAUCCAGCAAUGCCGCGUGCAGGAUGAAGGCCUUCGGGUUGUAAACUGCUUUUGUACGGAACGGAACGGUCUGGGUUAAUACCCUGGGCUAAUGACGGUACCGUAAGAAUAAGCACCGGCUAACUACGUGCCAGCCGCCGCGGUAAAAC
rnacentral:rRNA from 1 species